rnacentral:rRNA from 1 species
UACGUAGGGGGCAAGCGUUGUCCGGAUUUAUUGGGCGUAAAGGGCGCGUAGGCGGUGCCACAAGUCACCUGUGAAAUCUCCGGGCUCAACUCGGAGUCUGCAUCAGAAACUGCCGUGCUUGAGUGUGGGAGAGGUGAGUGGAAUUCCCGGUGUAGCGGUGAAAUGCGUAGAGAUGCGGAGGAACACCGAUGGCGAAGGCAGCCCCCUGGGUUAGCACUGACGCUCAGGCACGAAAGCGUGGGGAGCAAACAGG